GCUCUCGUAGCUCAAUGGAUAGAGCAGAGGUUUCCUAAACCUCCGAUGUAGGUCCGAUUCCUAUCGAGGGCA
rnacentral:tRNA from 1 species